rnacentral:rRNA from 1 species
AGUGAACGCUGGCGGUAGGCCUAACACAUGCAAGUCGAACGGCAGCACAGUAAGAGCUUGCUCUUACGGGUGGCGAGUGGCGGACGGGUGAGGAAUACAUCGGAAUCUACUUUUUCGUGGGGGAUAACGUAGGGAAACUUACGCUAAUACCGCAUACGACCUACGGGUGAAAGCAGGGGAUCUUCGGACCUUGCGCGAUUGAAUGAGCCGAUGUCGGAUUAGCUAGUUGGCGGGGUAAAGGCCCACCAAGGCGACGAUCCGUAGCUGGUCUGAGAGGAUGAUCAGCCACACUGGAACUGAGACACGGUCCAGGCUCCUACGGGAGGCAGCAGUGGGGAAUAUUGGACAAUGGGCGCAAGCCUGAUCCAGCAAUACCGCGUGCAUGAAGAAGGCCUUCGGGUUGUAAAGCCCUUUUGUUGGGAAAGAAAAGCAGCAGGUUAAUACCCCGCUGUUCUGACGGUACCCAAAGAAUAAGCACCGGCUAACUUCGUG